GUAAUUUCCUUCCAGAAUUUUGACAUAUCUUUUUAAGACAUUAUGCAUCCCAAGGAAAAGUAGAUUUGCUCUUCUCAUGAAAUGAUGCAAUGGAUGCAUACAAACACCGUUUGUUUCCACGUAUACUGGUGGUGUUCUCAUUUGACGAUUACCUUGAAUCAUUUGCUCAUGCAAAAUAGCUUGAAAAGUUGCUUGUGAAGCCAUCUACCUAAUUUUUGUAGUUCAUUGAGUUUACUUAUAAUGUCUUGACUGUUGUCAUCUUUUUGUUACAGGCGGGUGUAACUUUACUUCUAAUCAAUUUGAGC
rnacentral:misc_RNA from 1 species